UUGUCAAGAAAUGUCCUAGAGGCCUAUGGCAAAUAAGUAGGGUAUUCCUUGCUGGUACAGGUCCGAAAAUGACCAGUUGUGAUUUUGGAUUUGGUAUGGAUUAUUCGUUCUUGAGAGUUUAAAGAAUUGGAAACCCUCUACAAUGGUAGUUCCUUAACCAGCGCUUUAGUGCUGCAUUUGUCAAGAUGUUAUCCAUAUCCCCAUUGGAACAGAAUUACCUUAAAUUCUGACACUUCCGAGGAGCAUGACAUCUGUUAUACAAACUCCUUCUCUGCCCACUUGUACAAAUCCUUGUAUAUUUGUAGUAUUUUAUUUAUAUGCAUCAUUUUCUAAAAUCUAGAGGAAGUUGGGUAGCAUUUUUAUUUUUGUCUUUAUUCAUUUAACUUUGCAUUUUAAGUACUGAACUAUAUUAAAUUUGUCAUGCUGGCCAUUUAUCCAUGUGAUGGUGACUUAACCCCUUCAAUGCCAAAAUAAAGCAUAAAUGUUUUUAUUUCCAUGUAUUUUGCAGCAAGAAAUCUAGUCCAUAAAACCUCACUUACCAUUGUUUAUACUCCGAUUAGCAGCGUGUAGAUGAAUAAAUAUCUCUGUCAGAAGCCUCUAGUCACUGAUCUAAUGAAUGUAAUGUUGCUGAAAGUGUAGGCCUCACCCCCUGCUUUCAAACAGUACAGGAAGUUUCAAAGAGUGAUGGCAAUAACCUACUUAUAGUCUGGGGGUGGGGGUGUAGAGGGAGUGAAUAGACUAGACUGUACCAUUUCACUGCCAACAUUACAUUAGCCCAGGGGUUCCCAAUUAAUUUUUCCAGUGGAACCCAUUGCUUUUUCUCUUGAUAGUUCCUUGUUUUAACCAGAUGUCUAAAUUCAUGGUUGUUGGUUGGUUAAAAAAAAACAAAAAAAAAAAACACUUCUCUAACCUUAAAAAAAAUAUAUAUCUCACUAUCUGACUGCAAUGGAUGCUGGUUUUUAUAAUGUUCUUAGAAAUAACUUUAUGAAAGAUGGGUUUUGGAUCAGUCUUGGAGCAAAAAGAUUAGAAAACUUAAACAGGUCUCACUACCUGACUGCAAAGGAUGCUGUUUUUUUUUGUUUUUUUUUAUAAAGCUCUUGGAAAGAAAUGAAUGUAAGCAGGAUUUUGGCUCAGUCUUGGAGUAAAGAGAACGCUUUACUUCAGUUUUCACUACCUGACUGCAAAGGAUGCUGUUUUGUUAACAGCUCUUAGAAAGAAAAUUU